CCCAGACCACAUCGCAUGCAAACAUGCCACCAGCACCUGCAUUAUCGAAACUUCUGUCUUUCUGACCUGCUGACACCUAGGUAAGCAAUCAAGUGUGUCUUUACACCAUGCUGGAAUUUUCCACAGGAUUUGGAGUUAGAUCUAAUCUUUCCCCAGAUGAUUCCUUCCCUCAUGUGAAAUGACUUGGUUCCUGGUGAAGUGACUCCAUCUAUCCACUGAUCAGGGAAGUCGACCUCAACACAGUUGACAUUUGGGACUGGAUAAUGUGCACCUUAGUGUGUUUAUCAGCUUCCCUGGCCUCUACCCACACUAGCUGCCACCAGCAGCCACAUAGCCACAACGAUACGAAUGUCUUCAGACAUUGUCAAAUGUGCCUUAUGUUCUCAGGUCUCCAAAUGCAUCCCAACUAUUGAUUCAGAAUCAUCCCAUGAGCUGGCCGCCAUGGUGCACAACUGUAAUCCUAGCACUCAAGAGGCUGAGGCAGGAAGAUCACAAGGAGACCAACCUCGGCUGCAUAGUGAUUCAAGAUCAAGAGGCCCAAACACACCAAUGCCAACACAAGCUGUGAUUCACUUUACUACAUGAAAGCUGAGACUGCUUAGGCUUUAGGGUGGGCAGCUUCAAAAGUGAAAUUCACCCAAAGGAAGCAGGUAAAAGUGUCUACCUUCAAGGAUAAAUGAAAACUGAAGAGGAUACAAAAUGAUCCUCUAGAGCUGGGAAUAUAGCUCAGCGGCACAGCGCCUGCCUA